rnacentral:rRNA from 1 species
UACGAAGGGUGCAAGCGUUACUCGGAAUUACUGGGCGUAAAGCGUGCGUAGGCGGUUUGUUAAGUCUGUCGUGAAAGCCCUGGGCUCAACCUGGGAAUUGCGAUGGAUACUGGCAAGCUAGAGUACGGUAGAGGAUGGUGGAAUUCCCGGUGUAGCGGUGAAAUGCGUAGAGAUCGGGAGGAACACCGGUGGCGAAGGCGGCAUCCUGGACCGGCAGUUGACGCUGAGGCGCGGAAAGCCAG